CCUGACGGAGCCGAGCUCGGCCCAGGCCGUCGGCAGCGCGGACAGCAUCUGCUCGAAGAAGUCGUCCUGCCCCUGCCCCUGCCCCUGCCCGCCGCCGUGCAUUUCGCGGCCGGUGGGCUGCAUGGGCUGGCUGCCUGCUCGGCUCUCGGCUUGCUCGGGGAGGAGGAGGGCGCGACGCUAAAGCCGGCGAGGAAAGGUGGUGGUGGUGGUGGUGGCGGCCUGGGCUGGGUUGACGAUUGCAGAGAGCGAGGCGACAAAGUUUAUAAGCUCGCAGAGAGAGG
rnacentral:lncRNA from 1 species